CAUGUUGUCACAAAGUCUGACCAAACUAAAUUAGAGGUGCACUACAUCAAUACGGUGAAAGGACGUGGACUAUUUGCAAAAGGUUCCUUCUGCAAAGGAGAUUUUAUUGUGGAGUACAGGGGUGAAAUGAU